GAUGAACGCUGGCGGCGUGCCUAAUACAUGCCAGUCGAGCGAACAGACGAGGCGCUUUCUCCUCUGACGUUAGCGGCGGACGGGGGAGUAACACGUGGAUAACCUACCUAUAAGACUGGGAUAACUUCGGGAAACCGGAGCUAAUACCGGAUAAUAUAUUGAACCGCAUGGUUCAAUAGUGAAAGACGGUUUUGCUUCCACUUAUCGAUGGAUCCGCGCCGCAUUAGCUAGUUGGUAAGGUAACGGCUUACCAAGGCAACGAUGCGUAGCCGACCUGAGAGGGUGAUCGGCCACACUGGAACUGAGACACGGUCCAGACUCCUACGGGAGGCAGCAGUGGGGAAUCUUGCGCAAUGGGCGAAAGCCUGACGGAGCAAUGCCGCGUGAGUGAAGAAGGUCUUCGGGUCGUAAAACUCUUUUAGUGGGGAAGAAGAAAGUUGAGAGUAAACAUGCACGCAUUGACGGUACCUAAUCAGAAAGCCACGGCUAACUACGUG
rnacentral:rRNA from 1 species